rnacentral:rRNA from 1 species
AUUGAACGCUGGCGGCAUGCCUUACACAUGCAAGUCGAACGGUAACAGGGAGCUUGCUCCGCUGACGAGUGGCGAACGGGUGAGUAAUGUAUCGGAACGUACCUUUUAGUGGGGGAUAACGUAGCGAAAGUUACGCUAAUACCGCAUAUUCUCUGAGGAGGAAAGCAGGGGACCUUCGGGCCGUGCGCUAAUAGAGCGGCUGAUAUCAUAUUAGCCAGUUGGUGAGGUAAAGGCUCACCAAGGCGACGAUCUGUAGCGGGUCUGAGAGGAUGAUCAGCCACAAUGGAACUGAGACACGGUCCAGACUCCUACGGGUGGCAGCAGGGGGGAAUUUUGGACAAUGGGGGCAACCCUGGUCCAGCCAUGCCGCGUGAGUGAAGAAGGCCUUCGGGUUGUAAAGCUCUUUCGGCCGGGAAAAAAUCGCAUUGGUUAAUACCCUGUGUGGAUGAUGGUACCGGAAUAAGAAGCACCGGCUAACUACGUGCCAGCCGCCGCGGUAAGAC